UACGUAGGGGGCGAGCGUUGUCCGGAUUCAUUGGGCGUAAAGCGCUUUAAGGCGGUUCGCUAAGUCGGGUGUGAAACCUCCAGGCUCAACCUGGAGACGCCAUUCGAUACUGGCGUGACUUAGAGUUCGGUAGGGGAUCACGGGAAUUCGGUGUAGCGGUGAAAGUGACGCAGAUAUCAGGAAGAACACCCGUGGCGAAGGCGGGUCUCUGGGCC
rnacentral:rRNA from 1 species